rnacentral:rRNA from 1 species
GAUGAACGCUAGCUACAGGCUUAACACAUGCAAGUCGCGGGGCAGCAUGGGGGUUGCUUGCAAUCCCCGAUGGCGACCGGCGCACGGGUGAGUAACGCGUAUCCAACCUGCCCUUCACCACGGGAUAACCCGGCGAAAGUCGGACUAAUACCGUAUGUUGUCCAUUGACGGCAUCCGAUUUGGACGAAAGGUUUGGCGGUGAAGGAGGGGGAUGCGUCCGAUUAGCUGGACGGCGGGGUGACGGCCCACCGGGGCGACGAUCGGUAGGGGUUCUGAGAGGAAGGUCCCCCACACUGGAACUGAGACACGGUCCAGACUCCUACGGGGGGCAGCAGUGAGGAAUAUUGGUCAAUGGGCGUAAGCCUGAACCAGCCAAGUAGCGUGCAGGAUGACGGCCCUAUGGGUUGUAAACUGCUUUUAUGCGGGGAUAAAGUGGCCCACGUGUGGGUUUUUGCAGGUACCGCAUGAAUAAGGACCGGCUAAUUCCGU